rnacentral:rRNA from 1 species
UACGUAGGGGGCAAGCGUUGUCCGGAAUCAUUGGGCGUAAAGCGCGUGUAGGCGGUCCGGUAAGUCGGCUGUGAAAGUCCAGGGCUCAACCCUGGGAUGCCGGUCGAUACUGCCGGACUAGAGUUCGGAAGAGGCGAGUGGAAUUCCCGGUGUAGCGGUGAAAUGCGCAGAUAUCGGGAGGAACACCAAUGGCGAAAGCGGCUCACUGGACCACAACUGACGCUGAGGCGCGAAAGCUAGGGGAGCAAACAGG